UACGUAGGUGGCAAGCGUUAUCCGGAAUUAUUGGGCGUAAAGCGCGCGCAGGCGGUUUCCUAAGUCUGAUGUGAAAGCCCACGGCUCAACCGUGGAGGGUCAUUGGAAACUGGGAAACUUGAGUGCAGAAGAGAAAAGCGGAAUUCCACGUGUAGCGGUGAAAUGCGUAGAGAUGUGGAGGAACACCAGUGGCGAAGGCGGCUUUUUGGUCUGUAACUGACGCUGAGGCGCGAAAGCGUGGGGAGCAAACAGG
rnacentral:rRNA from 1 species